AAAAGCUCGCUUUUGUUGAGAUUUAAUUUGUAUCCCGAAAAUUGACCAAACUGAUUGAGCAACGACAGAGCGGGGGGUAGUGAGGUACCCGGGUUUGAGACAAAGAGCAAGAGGUCAUCAGCAUAAAGUGAGACCCUAUGCUCUGUGUUGCCCCUCCAAAUACCAGAUAUGUCCCUGCAACUGCGGAAGGCUGUGGCAAGCGGUUCGAUGGCCAGAUCAAAAAGUAUGGGGCUCAGAGGGCACCCUUGACGGGUUCCACGAUGUAAGUUGAAUGAGUGAAUGUGUGUGUUAUUAUAAAUACGUAAGU